GAUGAACGCUAGCGGCAGGCUUAAUACAUGCAAGUCGAGGGGCAGCAGGACUGUAGCAAUACAGUUGCUGGCGACCGGCAAACGGGUGCGGAACACGUACGCAACUUACCCAAAACUGGGGAAUAGCCCGGGGAAACCCGGAUUAAUACCUCGUAAGAUAAUGAAGUGGCCUCACUUUAUUAUUAUAGCUCCGGCGGUUUUGGAUGGGCGUGCGCCUGAUUAGGUAGUUGGCGGGGUAACGGCCCACCAAGCCUACGAUCAGUAACUGGUGUGAGAGCACGACCAGUCACACGGGCACUGAGACACGGGCCCGACUCCUACGGGAGGCAGCAGUAAGGAAUAUUGGUCAAUGGACGCAAGUCUGAACCAGCCAUGCCGCGUGAAGGAUGAAGGUCCUCUGGAUUGUAAACUUCUUUUAUAUGGGAAGAAAUCCACUUUUUCUUGAGUGGUUGACGGUACCAUAGGAAUAAGCACCGGCUAACUCCGUGCCAGCAGCCGCAGUAACAC
rnacentral:rRNA from 1 species